UUCAACUUGACAGGGCGAGGUGAUUUACUGACUGAUAUAUUUGUGUGUGUCUCUCUCUCUCGUUCACUCCAUGUUCCAUUCUCUCUCUCUCUGUGUAUGUCUAUCCUUUCCAAACAGGGGGGGUGUGAAGACAGACACACAAAAAAAAAAGAGUUUCCAAAAAAAGGAAAACCAACAAGGGCAGUUCAUCAUGCUCAUCGGCGGUAAAUGGCUUCUACGUGGCGGGAAUAUUCAAAUUAUACAUCAAAGAAUUUUUAUUUUUUUUUAAAUAGUUUCUUCCAUUCGCGGUUAUUAUAAUAGAAAGAGCCAUUUCCUCUUACUCUACAACUACUCCCCUCCCCACCUUUAAUUAAUUGAAGUCAAACAAAAAGUAUAACCGAUCGGAAACGUGCUGAUUAAUACAAUAGAUUGUUGUAUUACAUACAACAUAUUGAGGAAUGAU